UACGGGGGGGGCAAGCGUUGUUCGGAUUUACUGGGCGUAAAGGGCGCGUAGGCGGCAAUUCAAGUCAGCUGUGAAAUCUCCGGGCUUAACUCGGAACGGUCAGCUGAUACUGCUUUGCUAGAGUGCAGAAGGGGCAAUCGGAAUUCUUGGUGUAGCGGUGAAAUGCGCAGAUAUCGGGAGGAACACCGGUGGCGAAGGCGGUUCUCUGGGCCUUACCUGACGCUGAGGAGCGAAAGCGUGGGGAGCGAACAGG
rnacentral:rRNA from 1 species